GACGAACGCUGGCGGCGUGCUUAACACAUGCAAGUCGAGCGGUAAGGCCCUUUCGGGGGUACACGAGCGGCGAACGGGUGAGUAACACGUGGGUGACCUGCCCUCAGCUCUGGGAUAAGCCUGGGAAACCGGGUCUAAUACUGGAUAUGACUCCAUGACGCAUGUUGUGGGGUGGAAAGCCUUGUGCGGCUGAGGAUGGGCCCGCGGCCUAUCAGCUUGUUGGUGGGGUGANGGCCUACCAAGGCGACGACGGGUAGCCGGCCUGAGAGGGCGACCGGCCACACUGGGACUGAGACACGGCCCAGACUCCUACGGGAGGCAGCAGUGGGGAAUCUUGCGCAAUGGGCGAAAGCCCUGACGCAGCGACGCCGCGUGAGGGAUGACGGCC
rnacentral:rRNA from 1 species